AGUGAACGCUGGCGGUAGGCCUAACACAUGCAAGUCGAACGGCAGCACAGUAAGAGCUUGCUCUAACGGGUGGCGAGUGGCGGACGGGUGAGGAAUACAACGGAAUCUACUUUUUCGUGGGGAAAAAAGUAGGGAAACAUACGCUAAUACCGCAUACGACCAACGGGUGAAAGCAGGGGAGAUUAGGACCUUGCGCGACAGAAAGAGCAGAUGUCGGAUUAGCUAGUUGGCGGGGUAAAGGCCCACCAAGGCGACGAUCCGUAGCUGGUCUGAGAGAAUGAUCGCCCACAUUGGAACUGGAACACGGUCCAGACUCCUACGGGAGCCACCAUUGGGGAUUUUUCGACAAUGGCCGCAAGCCUGAUCCAGCCCUCCCCCGGGGGUGUGGAAGGCCUUCGGUUUUUAAAGCCCUUUUGUUGGGAAAGAAAAGCUUCUGGUUAAUACCCCGCUGUUCUGACGGUACCCAAAGAAUAAGCACCGGCUAACUUCGUG
rnacentral:rRNA from 1 species